UCUUCUGACGCACUUGAACCUGACGGAAACAAACGAUGUUCUGGAGAUCAUGCGACCCGUGAAGAACUGGACCACGCCGACCCUCGUUCAGGUGGACAUGGUGUUGUUUGGCAUUUUAAAAGUGGAUGAGAAGUCUCAAACUGUCACGAGUCACAUCGGGCUCCAAAUGUUCCUCUGACACUGGGAGCAUCUCCAGGAGUCCAGUUGUCAGUUUGUCUCCCAACGGUUUGGUGAAGGCAAACGCACGUCAGCGGCUGACCUCCACCUGUCUGCUGAAUGUCUCCAUGUUCCCCUUUGACACCCAAAAUUGUGAGAUCACUUUUUCCUCC